rnacentral:rRNA from 1 species
GCUUGACUGUAGCUUGUAUUGGUUCGGCUUUUUCUUGCCGCAGCCUAGGUGGGAGCAACGAUGAUUUUUUUCCGGAAAAAUUUGAGCGUUAGUGAGAGACCACUCUGAAAAGGCUAGAAUCCUAAUAAUGAUCCUUGAAUCAGGACACUUUGACAGUUGCAGGUGGCGCAGUUUUACUGGGGCGGUAUUCUCCUAAAAAGUAACGGAGGGGUGCAAAGGUUCCCUCAAGCUGGACGGAAAUCAGCUUAAGAGUGUAAAGGCAAAAGGAGCUUGACUGCAAGACCUACAAGUCGAGCAGCGGGCGAAAGCCGGCCUUAGUGAUCCGACGGUACCACGUGGAAGGGCCGUCGCUCAACGGAUAAAAGUUAC